AAGUCGUAACAAGGUUUCCGUAGGUGAACCUGCGGAAGGAUCAUUAACACGUAUCCAAACGUUAAAACCCCCCCCGUGAACCUUCAUCCUGCUCUUGUAACCCGCGUAGUUCGCAAUCUCUGAUAAAUCAUAGCUGCCCGAGUGUACGGUCUACAGGAAUCUUAGAAGCGCUAUCCUUGCACAAUCAAUGACACUUUCCGACACUGACUGCUUGGAGAAACAUUGCCUAGAGAACUACCGCUCGAUUGUAACUGUUCCAAUGUUCGCACGUAGCCAGAGGUCUCUGAAUCACUACAACUUUGCGGCUGGAGCUUUGCCAAAGGGUCCCCAUGCCCCCUAAUAACCCCACAGUUUAAUGUGAAGCUCAAUGUAAUACAUUGGGUAAAAAAACCGAACAACUGUUAACAAUGAAUAUCUUGGUUCUC
rnacentral:misc_RNA from 1 species